GUUGAACGCUGGCGGCAUGCCUUACACAUGCAAGUCGAACGGCAGCACGGGGGCGAACCCUACGGUGGCGAGUGGCGAACGGGUGAGUAAUGCAUCGGAAUGUGUCCUCUUGUGGGGGAUAACCAGUCGAAAGAUUGGCUAAUACCGCAUGAGCUCGUAAGAGGAAAGGCGGGGCCGCAAGCCUCGCGCGAGAGGAGCAGCCGAUGCCCGAUUAGCUAGUUGGCGGGGAAGACGCCCACCAAGGCGACGAUCGGUAGCUGGUCU
rnacentral:rRNA from 1 species